UACGAAGGGGGCUAGCGUUGCUCGGAAUUACUGGGCGUAAAGGGCGCGUAGGCGGACAGUUUAGUCAGAGGUGAAAGCCCAGGGCUCAACCUUGGAAUUCCCUUUGAUACUGACUGUCUUGAGUUCGGGAGAGGUGAGUGGAAUGCCGAGUGUAGAGGUGAAAUUCGUAGAUAUUCGGCGGAACACCAGUGGCGAAGGCGACUCACUGGCCCGAUACUGACGCUGAGGCGCGAAAGCGUGGGGAGCAAACAGG
rnacentral:rRNA from 1 species